UCCAGCGCUAAAAUAUAUAGAGGAAGCCAUGAUGACGAAACUUCCGCUGAGGGGCGUGUCCACGCUUAUCCCCAUGACAAAUGCCUUAGUCUGCCCUCUAUCGGUCAGGAGGUGACAGCGCUGUCGCUGUUAAUGUGACGUAGGGCGGAGGCGUGGUAGAGAAGGAGGAGGAGCUCCGGGCGGACAGAUCGUUGGAUACAAUGUUACAGACUCCGCUGUUUGUUCCGCACAGUCACGUGACUGCGCUAAUUCUGUAACCGCAUAUCACAGGACAGCAGUGAUCUGAUUGGCUCCCAAGUGCCGUCUCUCCGCCCACGUGUUGUUAAUUCUUCCCACGGGCCAUGACGUCAGAAGGAGGCGUGGUAUUAGGCUCCUCCUACAGGAAGAAGUCGGAUCCGCGGACACAUUGGUCGGUAAUGGAGGAAACGGUCCGGAACCGGAGCUCGUGAGUGCAGAGGACGGGGCCCGGGGCUACACGUGACCGGGAGGAGCGGACAUGGGCGGGAACCGGCGGAGCCUCCUGUACAUCCUCAUCCUGCUCUGCCAGAUGGAUGGCGGUCGGGGGAGCGGGGUUUCUCUGCCGGAGUCGCUGCUGUUCGUCUCUACCCUGGACGGGGGUCUCCACGCUGUCAGUAAGAAGACCGGCGCCAUCAAGUGGAUGUUACAAGAAGAUCCUGUUCUACAAGUCCCGACUCAUAUGGAAGAGUAAGUCCCCC